GUGGGGAAUAUUGGGCAAUGGGGGCAACCCUGACCCAGCGACGCCGCGUGAGGGAAGACAGCCUUCGGGUUGUAAACCUCUGUUGCAGGGGAAGAAGGACGUGACGGUACCCUGCGAGGAAGCUCCGGCUAACUACGUGCCAGCAGCCGCGGUAAUACGUAGGGAGCGAGCGUUGUCCGGAAUUACUGGGCGUAAAGGGCGCGAAGGCGGUUUUGCAAGUCAACUGUCAAAUCGCGGGGCUUAACCCCGCUCCGCAGUUGAAACUGUAAGACUGGAGGCACAGAGAGGCAGACAGAAUUCCUGGUGUAGCGGUGAAAUGCGUAGAUAUCAGGAAGAAUACCAGUGGCGAAGGCGGUCUGCUGGCUGUGGACUGACGCUCAAGCGCGAAAGCCAGGGGAGCAAACGGG
rnacentral:rRNA from 1 species